UACGUAGGGGUCGAGCGUUGUCCGGAGUUACUGGGCGUAAAGCGUGCGCAGGCGGCGGUCUGCGCCCGGCGUGAAAGCCCCCGGCUCAACCGGGGAAGGUCGUCGGGGACGGGACCGCUUGAGGGUAUCAGGGGCUGGUGGAAUUCCCGGUGUAGUGGUGAAAUGCGUAGAGAUCGGGAGGAACACCGGUGGCGAAGGCGGCGACCUGGGUGGAUACUGACGCUGAGGCGCGAAAGCGUGGGGAGCAAACAGG
rnacentral:rRNA from 1 species